rnacentral:misc_RNA from 1 species
GGAUGAAGAACGUAGUGAAAUGCGAUAAGUAAUGUGAAUUGCAGAAUUCAGUGAAUCAUCGAAUCUUUGAACGCACCUUGCGCCCUUUGGCCAUUCCGAAGGGCAUGCCUGUUUGAGUAUCAUGAACACCUCAACUCUUCAUGGUUUUCCAUGAUGAGCUUGGACUUUGGGGGUCUUGCUGGCCUGUGGGUCGGCUCCUCUCAAAUGAAUCAGCUUGCCGGUUUUUGGUGGGCAUCACAGGUGUGAUAACUAUCUACGCUUGUGGUUUUCCACCAGGGUAACCUUCAGCAGUGGAGGUUCACUGGAGCUUACAAAUGUCUCUCCUCUGUGAGGACAGCCCUUUGAAUGUUUGAUCUCAAAUCAGGUAGGACUACCCGCUGAACUUAAGCAUAUCAAUAAGCGGAGGA